AACUUUUAACAAUGGAUCUCUUGGCUCUCGCAUCGAUGAAGAACGCAGCGAAAUGCGAUAAGUAAUGUGAUUUGCAGAAUUCAGUGAAUCAUCGAAUCUUUGAACGCAUCUUGCGCUCCUUGGUAUUCUGAGGAGCAUGCCUGUUUGAGUGUCAUUAAAUUCUCAACUACACUGACUUGGUGUGGCUUGGAUUUGGGGGUUGUGGGCUUUUUGUAGUCUGCUCCCCUGAAAUUAAUUAGCGGUACCUUGGUGGAACUGUCUACAGGUGUGAUAAUUAUCUACAUCCUAGACAUCUGCUGGAAUGCUGCUUUCUAGACCUUACUUGUAUUGACAAUCUUGACCUCAAAUCAGGUAGGACUACCCGCUGAACUUAAGCAUAUCAAUAAGCGGAGGCU
rnacentral:misc_RNA from 1 species